UGAAGUUGAAAAAAGUUCAUCGAGUAAGCUCAGAGAUCCUGAACUAUCAUGCUGUUUUAUAUUUGGAAUUAGCAUAUUUCAGUUUGAUGGUUUAAUUUAAUGGAUGUAACCGAAGAAUAUUUAGAAUAAAAGAAAAAAGUUUGUGCCAACGAUGGAGUAAUCCAUGCGCUGAAUCCGUAUUGGUGGUUUAAUGCAUGCAGCUUGUUAAAUCUUUUCAAUUUCUUAAUUAUGAGUAUUGAACGCUGUCUGUUCUAUGCCUCCUAAAGAACUCAAUUACGAAAAAGUCACGUGACACUAAUGAAUCAAGGUAUAACUAGUUUCAGAAUUGAAUCACAUUUACACAAAUUUAAGACUCUAAUGGGGAAAUAAUGUCAGAAGUGACAAUUCAACAUCCAUCAAAAACUAUAGAGAAGCUUGGAUACGCGUGAAUGAUUCUUUUCGCGAAAAUGCAGCACGAGGGCGGCGAUUCAGAAGAAAGGAGCGAGGAAAGACAGUGUUAGUCCUUGAGAUGGAUAUAAACUUUACAUUCCGCGGUUCACCGAACUUUCUUUUAACAGGCAAAUCGUAUUUACACAAAUUUAAGACUUUAAUGGGGAAAUAAUGUUGGAAAUGAGAAUUGUAGAGAAGCUCGGACACGCGUGAAUGACCCUUUUCACGAAAAUGCAGUACGCGGGCGGCGAUUCAGAAAAAAAGAGCGAAAGAAGACAGUGCCAGUCCUUGAGAUGGAUAUAAACUUCACAUUCCGUGGUUCAUUGAACUUUCCCUUAAAAGGGUGAGAGGAAAAAACAAGGUGAAGUUUUACUUUUUCUCCUCUGAACCUCUGGAUCUUUCUUCCAAGUCAGGCUAUUAAUAAUUUGCGUUGUUCACCGUACCUGAUUUUCGAUUCAGCUUUGAUUUUUAGUUAUUCAUAAUACGAGCGAAACCUAUAUAAUCGUGCCAUAACCUUUGGGAAUAUCUUUAAAAGAUACAUAUGACAUUCUUUUAAAAUGAUGU